rnacentral:rRNA from 1 species
GAUCCUGGCUCAGGAUGAACGCUAGCGACAGGCUUAACACAUGCAAGUCGGAGGGGCAGCACAGGUAGCAAUACCGGGUGGCGACCGGCGCACGGGUGAGUAACGCGUAUGCAACUUGCCUAUCAGAGGGGGAUAACCCCGGCGAAAAGUCGGACUAAUACCCGCAUGAAGCAGGGGUCCCGCAUGGGGAUAUUUGCUAAAAGAUUCAUCGUCUGAUAGAUAGGCAUGCGUUCCA